GACAGAGGGUGCAAACGUUGUUCGGAUUUACUGGGCGUAAAGCGUGUGUAGGCGGCUUCGCAAGUUGGAUGUGAAAUCCCACGGCUCAACCGUGGACGUGCAUCCAAAACUGCGUCGCUACAGUCUCGGAGAGGAAGGUGGAAUGCUUGGUGUAGAGGUGAAAUUCGUAGAUAUCAAGCAGAACACCUGCGGCGAAGGCGGCCUUCUGGACGAUGACUGACGCUGAGACACGAAAGCGUGGGGAGCAAACAGG
rnacentral:rRNA from 1 species